CGAGAAGACCCCAUGGAGCUUUAAACCUGACAGCACCCGCUCAUUCUAUACCCCAUUAUUUGCCCGACCCCUGUCUGCUCAGUUUUAGGUUGGGGUGACCACGGAGUAUAAAAUAACCUCCAUGAAGAAGGGGAUAUUUCCCUUAUUAGAGAACCACACUUCCAAGAACUAAUAAAUUAAUUUUCAAUGACCCGAUACCCGAUAAUCGAUCAACGAACCAAGUUACCCUGGGGAUAACAGCGCAAUCCACCCUGAAAGCCCUUAUUAACAGGUGGGUUUACGACCUCGAUGUUGGAUCAGGGUAUCCCAGUGGUGCAGCAGCUACUGAGGGUUCGUUUGUUCAACGAUUAA
rnacentral:rRNA from 1 species